CUAAUUCCCGCACGUGCGCGCUGCGCUGGUCGGUUCCGUUUUCGUUGGCGGCCCGCGCGCGACUCCUCUCCGCAUUCGCAGGCAACUUCCCAGCGUUUGUGCGUGUCCCGUAGGCGGAGGUGCACCGCCGUAAAACCCCGAGUCCAAGCCACGCGAUAUUUUGCGCGUCCCGUUCGUUUUGCGUAGCGAUCGGCGAUUCGGGUGAGAGUACACAAUACGUUUCAUGCCCGCGCGCACGCUUGGUGCCGAAAACGAGAGAAGAGGAGGCUGAAAAAGAACGGAGGAGGUGGGGAGCAUUGUUUCUGUGUCAAGCGGCGCGCGUUGGCUCAGCUGGGCUGAGGGUGUCAUUGACCUUCCCAGUAGAGGCCAGUGCCCUCUGAAUGGAAGCGGUACCGUUGCCCGCCUGAGGAGCUCCGAUCCGAAUGUCGGCCACGCAUUAUGAAGACUACAAGGCGGCCCAUAGAGUACAUUGCCCCGGGGCUACCAACACCGGAGGUCGCACCACCUCGGGCCCGGUGGCGCCGUCGCUGGUGGACUACUUUCCACAGGCCGCCGGCGAUGGGCUCAAGGUGGUCUGGGAGCACGCUGUCAACAGCCGGCAGCGGCUAGCGAUGGCCCUACGAGGUCCUGGCAUGGUCAUUGAGGGGGACGUCAGCAUGGGCGCCAGUGGUCGCUACCCAGUACCCAUCAUGGCGCACCCGCCCAUAGCGGCAGCCUUUGGUGGCGGAGGCGGGAAUGGUGACUUGACGCUGGACGAGUGGCUCCAUGAGCUGGCCUUGUGCGGCAUGGCCAAGGGCGUCAAACUCGACUUCAAGUCCACCGAGGUCGUUGAACCUGCCUGCCGUAUCCUGGCACGCUACAUUGACAAGCUGCAAGGGCCUGUAGUGCUGAAUGCCGAUGUGCUGCCAGGACCGGACUGUGCGGCUGUGCCUCCUGUGGAUGCCUGGACCUUUCUGACGCUCUGUCGAACCCGUUUCCCUCGUUCCAUCAUUUCCCUUGGAUGGACAACUCAGGAAGGCUCGUGUCUGAAGAUGGGGUACACGCGGGAGAUGGUCGAGAGCAUGGGUGCCCUGGUUCGGGAGUACAACCUGGGUCAGCCCGUGAGCUUUCCCGUGUGGCUGCCCCUGGCACGUCGUUCGCUGGGCGACCUGCAGCGGCUGCUGGCCCAAGUGCCGCGUUCUUCGUUGACUGUGUUUGCCCGCCGCGGUGAGCCGUGGGCGGCCGCACUGCCCGAUCUCGCCGCUCUGCGCUCGGCCUUCAGCCCAUCGCUCGUCUAUUACGACCUGCCACAUGACCUGCUCCAGGCCUUCCUGCCCCUCUGCUAGGUCAAUGCUCUCAGAAAAUGUCGUCCUGCCAUGUCCGUCGUCAUCUCUGGCCAACUGUUGGAAGCCGGCGACCUAUCCAAGAGAAAGGCAUCCAUGGCACGUACCUGUGACGACGAAAGCAAUCAAGACACCAGUGAAACUUCCAGCGUCAGUGUUGCCUUGGGUGCUUGCCACACCGGUGUUUUGUUUUAAUGAGGUUUGACACACGUGUAAUACGUUAUUGGUCUGUUUCAUCACUCAGACCUAAUAGAAGCACACCAGCAGCAAUUUCCAGAGAAAGGGCCGGUACAACCUAUACAAAGCAUGUCUGUCAAUAUACUGCAGCUGAGAGAUAGUAGCUUUGUCAGUUUUCAUGCACACUGGACGUACUGUCACAAAAUAAUAUGUCCUCGCAAUGAGCUUCAGUCCUAACACACAGCACAUGCUGAAAAGAAAAAAAAAAGAGACAGUGAACUUCACCUUUGUUUGCUUGUGCUCGCUGUAUGUACUGUGGCAAGCUUUGGCAUCAAGAUGCCCACUGUAACACUACGCGUGGCCGUGCUUGCAUGGUGCUAAGAUAUUGACGCAAGUAGAAGUUGCCUGUAUAGAGGCGAUGUUAGAGCGCCUUUCCGUCUCUUUUUCGACGUUUUUCAGACCUUAUCCUCCCAGAGAGCACUUUGAUAACGCAGCUGUUGUGGCAGCCUUGUGGCUUGGAUACCUCAGCUUAGAUGAUUUAGUGGUGGGUUGUCGCUUUCUUGUCACGUGGUUGCCAGUUCACCUUUUCUGGAUUGCCUAUAGCUGUGAAUGUGCUUCAACGUGCACGACAUAUAGAGAUUUUUGCCUUUACAGUGGCCUUGUAAACAGUACUUUGAUGGUCUCGUGGCCCUCCAAUGGGGGGGGUCACAGUAAUAUAUAGAGCACACGACACAGUGCUGGCCCCGUUUAUGUUUUUUUGUGCCAUCAAGUACGGCAAAAAGCGCAUGGGACUGAGGUGUGGUCAGGUUUGUAGUUGUCGCAGAGAUGGAUCUAGAGAGUCAUGGUUACGCUGAUGUGCUAGUUUUUAUAGGAUGUGCUGUCUGUCACUGAGAAACAAAAUAUGCAGAGCUGCGGCAAUGUCGCGCGAAAUGAUGACUUUGUAAGUGAAGCAAGAAAGCGCCUUAAACCUCUUGCUGACUUUCAAAGGUUCCAGUUUGAAAUUAGCUAAAUGUGUGCAGUGAUGUAGUACUGCAAUGCCCAAAAGAUUUCCAAGCCAACGUGGGAGAUGAAGUUUUAAGUGGGCACCACAUUUAUUACCACAAGGUAUUAAAUUGUAACGCGUGAAACAUGACACUUAGAGAGUGAGAGAAGUGACAUUUUUCUGGAAGUUCCACCUGAUCUCGGUGUCAGUGCCGUGCAAUCUUUCUUUGACAGAUCCCCUUGUGAGGUAAGGUUAGGGAUCCGGGAGGCAGUGAUCUUAUACAUGUUCGGUAGUCAUGUCAAACUGCACUCUUUGCAACGAAGGCACGGUAUGGCGUUGGUGCAGCUCUGUGUUUUCAAGAUGCCUUACGAAAAGACAGCAAGAAAGAGUGCGAGAGUGUUGCGUGCAGCAGAGAAUUGUUAAACGGUUGUUGUUUCUGUAAAGUACGAGGGGGACCACACCAGAUCGAGUCUGAUGCAAGAGCAAUGUGCUGUGGCACGGUGUGCAUGUGAAUGUGUGCAUGUGAAUGUGAGCAUGUUGUAUCAUCGUAACUAUAAAUACGUGUUGUCCUUGAGCAUGCAGAGUGCACUGAAGUACCAUGUAUACUGGCGGUGUGCACCUUAACGUUAGUGGCGUGUCACCUUGUUUGUUUGUUUUUUCUUUUCUUUGCUGCAGAUGUAGGGUGCUUCGUUAAUGAGAUAUUGGAAAUGCAUAGGCAGGGGGUGGUCAUGACAGCAGGAUAAAACGUAGCUAUAUAUGCAACGGUAUGUUAGCUACAAACUAGGCAAACAUGGUAGUAUAAACUGUAUCGCACAAGGCCUUAAAUAUGCCGUUAAAGGAUCACCUUUUCUGCCCACAUUACAGAGAGCCUCCUAUGAUGCUCUCUGUUAUUGAGCAAGGCCACUGAUUUUCCCAUUUACUCAAACAAAAGUGUGCAGCUCAUCAUAGUUUCUAAAGGGCCUCAUAGAAAUUUUUAAAUGUGUUUGUAUAUUUCAUCUCGUACAAAAAUUUUCUACAUUAGCACAUUUCAACAUACUUGAGAAACACUACCUUCUGCUAGUGGUUAUGAUGCAGAGGAGUGGAAAACACUGAAUGAGUGAAAAAUGUAUCGCACCUUAAUGGUAGGUAAUGCACAUGCAGUUUUGGAAUAGUAGAAUGUUGGGCAACAAACACAAUAAUGCAUCUGCAACAAAUGUUUUCAGUGCGUAGCCACAUUGUGUCGGUAUGACUGUGUGGCUCUGUGCAAUGGCAAAAAUGUUAUUAUUGCCUGUAUGCAUACUCUGCAUAACCACUUUGAUGGAUAAGCGAAUCGUACAAAAUAGACGUGCCUACAGUGCCAUGCUGAGUGCACCAGAAGUACACUCCAUGUAGUUUCAGCUUUAGCAGUCACAAAAGAACGUUUAAGGCUGCCAGGCCAAUCAAUAGGGUGUAUUCCACAGAGUGCUCGCAACCUUUUCUGCAAUUGCACAAUGACAUAGAGAAAGGAACGUCUUGGCAGUCUUAACAGUAACAACUUUAAUUGCUGCUCUAACUAUCUCGUACUGCUGAGAAGGCUGUAACAGACACAUGAAAAGAAAUAUGCCAUAUUAUGUUAAGAAUUUGUGCACAAUUUGUGUCUCCAUACAGAGAGAGCCUCGUGGUCACCAUGUUUGUCUAGACUGUUGAGGCACGUCAGGAUCACAAAAUGCUGUAGAAAGCCUCUAAGACAUAGUGCAAGGCACAGUUUGACAUUUCCAUAUUCAAGAAGCAGAACAAUUGGAGCACAAAUUUUUAUAAGUGGGCAAUCUGCAUCUUCACGUUAGCACUUGGGGGAAAUCUUGACCCAUGCUUCAUUUGUACGAGUUUUCCAACUGAGAGUGGAAAACAAUUUUACGUCCUGGUGCCUUUUAAUGGAGUCUUGCAGUGUGGUUUUCUGGGCCAGUUGGCACAUGAUGACAAGUGAAGGGUUCCAACAAUUAUGUUUCAAACGCAAGCACAAGAAGAAAGAAAACCAGCCUUGUCCUGUGCAUUUCCUUUUGUCUUGUUCUCGCAUUGGAAAAUUGCUGGAACCCUUUAUUCGUCAUAAUGGAGUCUGGUUUGAUUUAUAAUGCAAGUGAGAACUGCAAGCUGUGCCAGCAUAGCCUUGAUCUAGUGUGAGAGUAGGAAUCGGUUUGUACGAGCAAACAUAUAAUGAGGGAUAAUUAUCAAUCAUUUUCACACACAUAUACUGCUUGACACAUGCAACACAGCUCCAUUUGUUAUAGGAGGCUGUCAUUGCAAUCAUGAAAGACUUUGUACAUUUUAUCUCGCAUAACGCAUAGCAUGCUGAACUGUGCAGCUACCCUGGUUCUCAGGCAAGAGCCGCGAAUAUUCACAGUAAAGUCAGCCCUAUCCGUCGCAGUUUCCUCAACCAGUCAUUUGGUUGCCAGAGCUUACAUACACUAUUAAAUGCACGUCAUAAAUGGCCUUGGAAAAUACCAUGCAAAUUCAGAAGCAAGACUUGUAGCGAUGUAAAGUAACUGUUGUACAUAGGCAGCCCUGCGUAAAGUAGCAACUUGCUAUGUGCACCAGCACCAGAUGAAUUCCAAAUGUUCACAAACUAAUUGAAUAAAAUAAUGCAAGAACAAAGAACACACAAACCCCGGGCAGUGCAGUGAACAGCACGUAUUUGUAUUCUCCUGAUUGCAUCUCCCUCUCCACUUCAAAACUUCAAUGGAGUGGCAUCAGAGUGAAAAUUUACACUCCAUACUUUCUUGAAUAAGAGUGCGCCUUUUUAUGAUGCGUAAAUUUUUUAGUGUGGGCCAGGGUUGUCUGGAGCUACUACGAAGUCCGGGUGUCCUGUUUUAAAUUGCAAUCCAAGGCUACAUUGCAAUUGAGAAAACGUAUGAUCUCCUAAUUUACUAUUUCUGCAUUUUUUUUCUCUAACCGCUCCCCUUUUACACAUGAUGCUAUUGUUAUGCCACAUGAGAUUUCCUUUUACACUCUAUCAAGCAUAUUUGAGGAGCCAUUUCUUAAAGAAGGAUUUUGUUGUGACAAUGCAUGAUAGGAACCGUCUCCAUUGGAACCGUCUCCAUUUAGGAAUGAAGAGGAUGCCUACCUUCACUAUGUUUUCAUUGUACGCUCUCCCGUCCGAAUAACAGAACUUGCUUAGAUUGUAUAGAAUAAGGCAAUGUAAACUUAACCAAGGAUGGCGCAUUAUAACCUGGCUUUCUAUUCCCGAGGCCUUACUUGGCAGCAUUUAUACACGUUGUUGUAUACAGGUAGUAAUUCACCGUUUAAAAACAUAGACUAAAAUGCCAGCAAUGCGUCCAUACGGUUUCAAAUGUGCAGAAAACAGCUUUCACGCCUGGUUCAACUUUACGACGCAAAGUUGCUAGGCACAACACGCCUAGUUGAGGCAGAGAUGUAGAUAUCAGUUGCUGUUCUUGCAUAAACGUGUUUCUCUUUUGCAUUUCACCCUGCAUUACCAAAUUAUUGUACAAUUUUCCGGUUACUACAGGUCUCAAAAGGCAGUAUUGAAAAUGGAAUAUCAUCUGAAUGUGUUAGUUUAAGUCUAGAGAAAACCAUUGCUUGAGAGCACAUGACGAAACACAGAAAGGCUAUGCUAGAAAGAUCUUUCAGGACCAACAAAACAAACCAGUGGGCUAGUGGGUACUGCAUAUGUUGAGGUAUAGCGCAGAGAAACAAUGCGCAACAACAGAAGACAUGACACAGCAAUAUGUGCUUGUGUCUCCAGUCAACCGGCAUCAUUUCUUUGAUCUAAACAUCAAGAUAUUUGAGGUCAGUCAGUCGAGCGAAAACAGUGAACUCAAGUUGAAGUACAAAAGCACAGUUCACACUUCCUUUUCCAUUGUGAUUAAACAAGGUGCUACCACAAACCUAGCGGUGCUGAACUGCUGCGAACUGUGAUCUUAAGUGGUAACAACAACAGGUACAUAGUUGUCCUCACUUCUACUAAUAUACCACAACGAUAAUUUCAGUAGAUCCUACAGUGCUGAAAUGUUCUUUCUGGUUUACACCCAAGUAUUGGAGGGUUUUACUUUGAAAGAAGUGGCUUUAGAUCCAUCUUUCUUUUUUUUUUGCUAUGAUCAUCAGUCGCUACGAAUAGUCAGUCCUGUUGACGUUAUUUCAGUAGAAUGCCCGCUGAUGACAAAUUGAGAAUUCGUAGGCUUGCAUACAGGGGGAGAGGGGCAAGGGUCAAUGGUCUUAAGCCCACUGAAUCUGAUGUCUGUCAUAGUAUGCAAGAGUUACGGGGCAAACAUGCUUUCGCCAUGUCUACCAACUGUCGUCCUGUACCAUGUGCUUGUACCAUGACGUGCAAAAUUUUGUUUUUAUUAACACAUACACGAUAAUGCGAGACAUUCGUAAUCUAGAACAUUGUUGCAUGUAUCGGUAGACUUAAGGGCACCAAACAACAAAGUGAAAGAUUUGAGAAUAAAAUACCCAUGGACAGCUUUUAGCAGAGGUGUCAAUAAAUCUUGCUAGAUGCCAUGAAGCGAAUGUCAGCUGCAAAAAAAGAUGCGCAAGGAUAGAGUGAGAUGGCAGAACAUGGCUAUUAGGCUAUGCCUCCACCCAACUAGUGGCCACUUUGGCUUAACAGCUGGAAAUAGGAUACAGACUAAAGAAAUUUACUGUGCAGUCUGUAAGCCUGACUUACCUAUGCCUGUUGCAGACCUUGGGCACUGUAGUGUUCGUUGUACUGAAACACAUUUUGAACGUCGCAAGAAUGUUACCAUGCAUGUUGAUGUAUAAGAAUGACAGUCAACAAGUGUGAAGGUUAGGAAAACGCAUGAAAGAUGGCUUUACUUGAUUCUAUUGUUGGGCUUAAAAUGCCGGGCAUUGUGCCAUCUACAUUACUGUCACAUCGUGACACAGUGCAACAUUUGUCGACAUCGUGUAACACUAAGGCUGGCCAUCGUUACAGUGCUUCUGAAAAAAAAUUGAAGUGUCUGCUGCACGCAUCUAUUCAGACUCCCUUCGCUUGUGGGAGCCGCAGAAGAAUUGCACACAGGCAGGGCAAGUCACAGGAGUUGAGUGAGGCAGCGCAUUUCGCCAUCAUGACGUAUUCACCUCCCAAGUACUGAAACAGAAAUGUCCAAAACAAAUAUAGUUAAUUUAGAGCACUCUGGCACUUGCCAGCACUUUUUUUAAGGUUGAGAGAACUUCUACAUUCACUUAAUGCAAAAAAAAAGGACAUUUGAAAAAUUUUGUCAGUGCUACAAGUCUAAGCAGCUAUCUUCCACAUGCCCCCAUUUAGCUCUUAAGUUUAUGGCACCACUACUGCCUGCAACUGGGUUGCACGCACAAUCAAAUUUAGGUGCAACUUCUCUUGCAUCUGAAUUCAUAAAUCAAAGAUAUUAAUUUUUUGCCCCAACCAGUUGGGCCUGUACAAGUUUGAGCCUUGUUACGCGCAGUGGCCUUUCUAGCACUUAAAAGCACCAUGCAGCUAGCAGUGUGUGUAGCGUAGAGGUGCACGCUUGUAGUAGUACAGUUGUAGUUGUUGCUAGAAAAAUGUUGUUGUUGUGAGCUAAACGACUUUCUUCAAAAUGAGACGGUGAAAAAAAGUAUGCCUUGUUUUUCUUAAUUCUUUUUUUCAGCAGCUGGCUGAAAGCACAAAUAAAGGAUUUUUCAAAAGCAGC
rnacentral:misc_RNA from 1 species